CAAGCCAGAAGAGGCGCGUCGACCAGGCAGUGUGUUGGAGGAACCGUAUCCAGAGAUAACACAUCAGGGGGAGCGACGCCGAGGUGGUCAACAUCACGGUGUGUUGACUGUCGGCUACAGGGGCUGAAUCCCCUGGGUUGUCACCAGAAACGUCCACAGUCGGACGUUUCGCAAGGUGGAGCGCUUCUGGGUGA
rfam:Pantoea stewartii subsp. stewartii DC283 WGS_Sequence37, whole genome shotgun sequence.